GCUGUUUGGGACGCCGGGUGCGCGGUUGUGCUGUCUCUGCUCUCGUUUCACUGUCACAGCCGUCCCUUCCCGGAGCCCGGGAGAGGCUGGGCGCGCGCCCCUGUGUGUGAGCGGGACUCAGGGCAGAGCUGUCUACUCGUUGCCUUUUUUUUUUUUUUUCUUUUCUCCAAAGAACGGGGCAGUUCGCACGCUGGCCAUCCUGUAGCCCAGUUGGGAGCGGGGUUGGUGUGCGGAGUGGUUCGUCUUUUUUUUUUUUUUUUCUUUUAAACUUGUGAGCGCUUUUUUUUCCUUUUGCUUUUUUUUAGGCUCAGUGCCGUCCGGGCUGGUUUCCCGGGCCCUGACUAACCGCUUUCUGCCCCUUCUCUCGCCACCCCCGCCCAAGGUCGCCCCUCCGCCCUCACCCCUGGCCCGAGAGGGUGGGAAGCUUUGUCCCCGCCCUGCCCACCCGUGCGUCUUCGCUGCCGUAGCCGCACCUGCCUCAAUAUGAAUGGGGUCAACGACCCUCCUCUUUUUAUAAAAGACAUUAAGCCCGGACUGAAAAACUUAAAUGUCGUCUUUAUUGUCCUGGAGAUAGGACGCGUGACCAAAACCAAAGACGGCCAUGAAGUGAGAUCGUGCAAAGUAGCAGAUAAAACGGGCAGCAUCACUAUUUCCGUGUGGGAUGAGAUCGGAGGUCUUAUACAGCCAGGGGAUAUUAUUCGGUUGACCAGAGGGUAUGCAUCCAUGUGGAAAGGAUGUCUGACACUUUAUACUGGAAGAGGUGGUGAACUUCAAAAAAUUGGGGAAUUUUGUAUGGUUUAUUCAGAAGUGCCAAAUUUCAGUGAACCCAACCCAGAUUAUCGAGGACAGCAGAACAAAGGGGCACAGAGUGAACAGAAGAAUAAUUCCAUGAAUGGUAAUAUGGGUACAGGUACAUUUGGACCAGUGGGAAACGGUGUUCAAAGUGGCUCUGAGUCAAGGGGAUGCCACUUUUCAUAUGCUGGUAGAAGCAAUGGCCGAGGACCUAUAAAUCCACAACUACCAGGAACUGCUAAUAAUCAUACGGUCAUGACCACAAUAAGUAAUGGCAGGGACCCUCGGAGAGCCUUUAAAAGAUGACCUAUGCCAAAUACCCACAUGUAGUUUUUAAACUACAUGCCCUACUUGAACACUUAUUGCACUUUUAUUUAUUGUUAACUGUGAAAAGUAUGUCUUUUAUGGUUUCCUCUUAUGUUUUUGAUUUGUUAAGAAGAGUGGUUUGUUUUUUAUAGCAAAACUGUUGAGCUGCUCAAGUCUCCUAUUGAAGAAUGGGAACACUCUGAAAAGUAGGGGCAUUUAUUUUUAGAGCAAAAAAGAUUGUUGGAUAGCCUCUAAAAACCCGGCACCCAUUUCGUGGGGAAGCCUCCAAAACCAAAGCAAAGUGAGUCACAAUCCAUAAUGAAUAUUUGCCUUACCAGUCUACUUGGACUUCACUCAUCAAGAAGAGGAAGAAAGUUAUCUGCCUUCCUCCUCCUUGGUGCUUUCAGCUGUCGACUUUGAAAUAAGUUUAAACAACACCUACUGAAAACAAUAACCAUUUAGUACAGAAACACACUCUACCAGGAUUGGGUUCCCUGUAUUGUUUCAUCAAAACUGUUCUGAAGUGGAUGGAAGUCUGAUGAGACCAGCUUGUCCCUCCUGUGUGGGUGGGUUCUGGGGAGAGUUGCUAUGAUACAAAAACUGAAAGAUGAAAUCCAUAAGGCCAGAUGAUGAUAUUUAACAGUGAAGGCUCCAGUGUGCUUUCCCAUAGGCAUUUCAACAUCUAGAUUUCUAUGUAGUGUACCAAUUCUAUUUUUGCUUUGUCCCUAUAAUAAUCUUAGUAAUUUUGGUUUAAAUUUGAGGACAGUUUAACUUGAGAAUACCCUGAGUAUGUGUAGUACUAUUUGUCAAAAUUGUAUUUUUAUCAUUUAACAUUUUACAUGUUUAAUUUGCCGGGUUGGGUAAUACCAAGGGGAUGAUGCUGAAAACAAACAGAUGUGAGGUUAGUAAAAAUUACAAAGUGUAAGAACUUUUUAAAAAAAUAUAUAGGAAGGUAGUUAACUGGCCCUAAAAUGUUUUCUCAGAAGGUGCAGGUCUUACAUCUGUCAGAAGAAACAGUGGAAGCUAUUAGCUAACAUUUUAUACAGAUCAUAUAUUUCAGCUUAGUUACUGAAAUUACUUGCCUUUUUCUGGUGUCAUUAACAUAAUGGAGGUUUGUUCCCAGCCAUUUUAGGCUGCCUAUGACUUGAGCUCCUUUAAAGGAUUCUAGAGACAACAAACUGACAACAAACUGAAAAGGGUGCGUGGUAUCAACAUAGAAUACCCCCAAAGGAGUCUCUUCUUACCUCUAACCUUGUUUUUGAGAUUAGUUGCCCUUAUAGCUACUAGGGUUUUUUUUUGUUUUUUUUUUUUUAAGAUCUACUUUUCCUUCUCUGUUUUAUCCCUCACCUGAUGAGAGUCUGGACAUUUUUGGUAGAAAAAGAUGGUCACAGUUCUCUAGUAUAGGCAAACCUACCUCUAUCACGGUGGAAGCCUGUGUGCUGAGGUUCCAGCCAAUUUUUGAAUGUUGGAGUAAUUAAACAGUCCCACAUUUCACAGAGUAGUUGUAAUGAUUAACAGUUUAGAUAUGCUGAGGAAAUCUAAUUGUGACCUUUGGAAAAUAGCCCUGUCCUGAAUACUGUGGUGGUAUGCCUUGAGGGGGAAGCUAGAAAAACAUUUUACUUUCCAGGUAUAUUUAAAUUCUCUCCAAGCUUGCUUUAUUGGGAACCACUAGAGUUUGGGUUCAAAUAUUAUAAACAAAUUACUCCAGAUUUCUGAACUAAAAGGAUCUAUCGACAUUUCUCAGAACAAACUGAAGAGAAUCAGCUCAAAUCAAAAAGUUUGACUAGUAGAUGUUUCAUUUGGGCCUUUUGAAAGGUCCUGAUAGACAGCCCCCAAUUUUAUUGUGGCUCCCCAACCUUUGAGAAAUGCCAAUCAAGGUUUGGAUGAUCAAUGUUGACCUAUGCUAGAGCCCAGGUCUCAGUUCAUUGCCAUACCCCUGUUCACACCAUCACACGGUAUCUAUUGUUUCACUUCUAUGAAGGACUACUCGCAUGUUUUUAGAAACCUGUUCUUUUCUUCAUUUCUAAAUGGAGAAAUUGAAGUAAAUUUUAUAUCCCAUCAAAAUUUAUGCUUCUGUGCAUAGGAUAGUCUAGUUUAUUAAUCCAUAUAUUAAAUACAUGAAUAGAAUUCUCAAACAAUGGUUUGUAAGCCACCUAUAUGAGACUCCCCAGGAACUUGUCAGACCUACAGAUUGUGCCCCUGCUCUACUAGGAGAAUUUACCAGUAUAGAUUUGGGAGACCUGUGCUUUAAACACCCAUCUUGUCUUUGGCUCUUGAGUUCUCUGUUUAAAAAUGAGAUAACUGUUUUGAAGUUACAUGUGUAUGUUUUUUCAGUUUCUUCUGCCUUUGUGAGGCUAAAAUAUGCUAACAUUUUGGAUUAUAAAAUAGAAAAAAAAUUGCACUUAGAAGGAUAUGCCUCCAAAGGGCAGGAUAGAUGGGGUAAGCUACAUAGUCCUGAGCAGAAUAACAUGUUCGGUAUGGCUUCUGGGUGAGGGUGCCACAAAUUUUGAAUUAGGUUCAAAGAAAAUUGUUCAAAUGACAUCAGUGCUAAGAUCAGCUCUAUGGGGAGGGUCACUGUCUAGAUAAAAGUAAAAAUAAGCUUUGUUGCUAUAA